rnacentral:rRNA from 1 species
GAUGAACGCUGGCGGCGUGCCUAAUACAUGCAAGUCGAGCGAACAGACGAGGAGCUUGCUCCUCUGACGUUAGCGGCGGACGGGUGAGUAACACGUGGAUAACCUACCUAUAAGACUGGGAUAACUUCGGGAAACCGGAGCUAAUACCGGAUAAUAUAUUGAACCGCAUGGUUCAAUAGUGAAAGACGGUUUUGCUGUCACUUAUAGAUGGAUCCGCGCCGCAUUAGCUAGUUGGUAAGGUAACGGCUUACCAAGGCAACGAUGCGUAGCCGACCUGAGAGGGUGAUCGGCCACACUGGAACUGAGACACGGUCCAGACUCCUACGGGAGGCAGCAGUAGGGAAUCUUCCGCAAUGGGCGAAAGCCUGACGGAGCAACGCCGCGUGAGUGAUGAAGGUCUUCGGAUCGUAAAACUCUGUUAUUAGGGAAGAACAAAUGUGUAAGUAACUAUGCACGUCUUGACGGUACUUAAUCAGAAAGCCACGGCUAACUACGU